rnacentral:rRNA from 1 species
CGGGGGUAGAGCACUGUUUCGGCUAGGGGGCCAUCCCGGCUUACCAACCCGAUGCAAACUGCGAAUACCGGAGAAUGUUAUCACGGGAGACACACGGCGGGUGCUAACGUCCGUCGUGAAGAGGGAAACAACCCAGACCGCCAGCUAAGGUCCCAAAGUCAUGGUUAAGUGGGAAACGAUGUGGGAAGGCCCAGACAGCCAGGAUGUUGGCUUAGAAGCAGCCAUCAUUUAAAGAAAGCGUAAUAGCUCACUGGUCGAGUCGGCCUGCGCGGAAGAUGUAACGGGGCUAAACCAUGCACCGAAGCUGCGGCAGCGACACUGUGUGUUGUUGGGUAGGGGAGCGUUCUGUAAGCCUGCGAAGGUGGCCUGUGAGGGUUGCUGGAGGUAUCAGAAGUGCGAAUGCUGACAUAAGUAACGAUAAAGCGGGUGAAAAGCCCGCUCGCCGGAAGACCAAGGGUUCCUGUCCAACGUUAAUCGGGGCAGGGUGAGUCGACCCCUAAGGCGAGGCCGAAAGGCGUAGUCGAUGGGAAACGGGUUAAUAUUCCCGUACUUGGUGUUACUGCGAAGGGGGGACGGAGAAGGCUAUGUUGGCCGGGCGACGGUUGUCCCGGUUUAAGCGUGUAGGUGUGUGUUCCAGGUAAAUCCGGUUCACUUUAACACUGAGGCGUGACGACGAGGCACUACGGUGCUGAAGCAACAAAUGCCCUGCUUCCAGGAAAAGCCUCUAAGCAUCAGGUAACAUCAAAUCGUACCCCAAACCGACACAGGUGGUCAGGUAGAGAAUACCAAGGCGCUUGAGAGAACUCGGGUGAAGGAACUAGGCAAAAUGGUGCCGUAACUUCGGGAGAAGGCACGCUGACACGUAGGUGAAGUGAUUUACUCAUGGAGCUGAAGUCAGUCGAAGAUACCAGCUGGCUGCAACUGUUUAUUAAAAACACAGCACUGUGCAAACACGAAAGUGGACGUAUACGGUGUGACGCCUGCCCGGUGCCGGAAGGUUAAUUGAUGGGGUCAGCGCAAGCGAAGCUCCUGAUCGAAGCCCCGGUAAACGGCGGCCGUAACUAUAACGGUCCUAAGGUAGCGAAAUUCCUUGUCGGGUAAGUUCCGACCUGCACGAAUGGCGUAAUGAUGGCCAGGCUGUCUCCACCCGAGACUCAGUGAAAUUGAACUCGCUGUGAAGAUGCAGUGUACCCGCGGCAAGACGGAAAGACCCCGUGAACCUUUACUAUAGCUUGACACUGAACAUUGAGCCUUGAUGUGUAGGAUAGGUGGGAGGCUUUGAAGUGUGGACGCCAGUCUGCAUGGAGCCGACCUUGAAAUACCACCCUUUAAUGUUUGAUGUUCUAACGUGGACCCGUUACCCGGGUUGCGGACAGUGUCUGGUGGGUAGUUUGACUGGGGCGGUCUCCUCCUAAAGAGUAACGGAGGAGCACGAAGGUUGGCUAAUCCUGGUCGGACAUCAGGAGGUUAGUGCAAUGGCAUAAGCCAGCUUGACUGCGAGCGUGACGGCGCGAGCAGGUGCGAAAGCAGGUCAUAGUGAUCCGGUGGUUCUGAAUGGAAGGGCCAUCGCUCAACGGAUAAAAGGUACUCCGGGGAUAACAGGCUGAUACCGCCCAAGAGUUCAUAUCGACGGCGGUGUUUGGCACCUCGAUGUCGGCUCAUCACAUCCUGGGGCUGAAGUAGGUCCCAAGGGUAUGGCUGUUCGCCAUUUAAAGUGGUACGCGAGCUGGGUUUAGAACGUCGUGAGACAGUUCGGUCCCUAUCUGCCGUGGGCGCUGGAGAACUGAGGGGGGCUGCUCCUAGUACGAGAGGACCGGAGUGGACGCAUCACUGGUGUUCGGGUUGUCAUGCCAAUGGCACUGCCCGGUAGCUAAAUGCGGAAGAGAUAAGUGCUGAAAGCAUCUAAGCACGAAACUUGCCCCGA